AGGAGGACCGACAGAUGAACGGAUGACCUGCUUGCUGGGCUUCCCAUUACUAAUUCUUGAGACAUGAGGACCACUGACUGGUGAGGGAAUUGCCCUAUGAUGGAUGAGCCUGCCACAAGCUGCCAUAAGCUGGGAGGACCGACGGUUGACUGACUCUGCCUGCUUGGUUGGCCAUUACCGAUUCUUAAGAAGAUGAGGACCGCCAAGCUUGGAUGAGACUGGAAAAUUACGAAGCUGCUCUAUCUGGACAAGGAUGCCCUCAUCAGACACUUUCCAAUUUGCGGAAUAUUGGAUCCAAAAUCAGACUGCAUAUUAUUUUGCAUUAUUAUAAAACAUGAAAACGACGAAAAUACGAAUUCUUACGCCAAAGUUACCGCUAUAAUUGGUAGAAAUAAUAGCUUAAAUCACUGUUACUGGUUAACUUUACUGAGAUACCUAUUCCUGAAAUAUUUGACAACGAGUACGACGAAAAUUGAAGAAAAAAAGUCAAAUUUGUGUAAAAUACAUUGCAGUGAAAAUCAAAUCAUGAGCGGAUUUUCUACUCACAGAAAUGCUUCUCCGCUUCCAACAAGUGGCUGAGAAAAUGAUGAAAUUUACGCCGAAAAAAACUGAAAUCAGUGUUGUUUUCACCUUUACUGCGAUACCUACCCGAAAUAGUUGACUAAACGCGUGUGACGAAACGUGGAAACAAAAAUCAAAUCAGCCUAAAUAAAUUACAACGAAAAUCACAUAGUACGUGGAGUUUCUUCUCGCAGCCCGGCACUCUGUUUCUACAGGUAGCUACAGGAAAAUUACGAAAAUUACACCGAAAAACAACGCGGCAAAUAAGUGAAGUGACGAAACAUAUUUUACACGGCUAAAAAAAUCACAGCGUUAGUGAGAGAAAUAAUACUUGAUAUCAGUGUUAUUUUUCUUACCUACAAAGUAAAAAAAAAUUCGAUUGCGGAAGAAUGAAAUUAAAGAGACGAAAAUUACGGUAAAAAGAUUAACAGCGGCAGCGAAAGAAAUAAAUAUUUGAAAAUCGGUAAUUUUCUAAACUUCUAGGCCCUAUGUCAUGCAAAAAUUUGCUAAGGAAAAAUGACCCGCGAAAUAAUGUUAACAAAAAAAUUCAAAUUAUAAUCGGCAGCCACUUCCGGUACGGUACUACACUGCUUAAAAUAGUCGGAAAGCGAAUUUUGGUAAACGGUGGGGAAAAUGACGGCAGAAAAAAAAGGUAAAAAAAUGACGGAAAUGAAGGAAAAACUCCAUUAUAUCGAUGUACAGAAAAUGACUGAAUUUCAAUUAAAGCAGCAAUGUUAAAGGCAUUCCCCCGAGUUCUAGGCAUACGCCACAUCUUUUAAGUAUUAUUCGUCACGGAAAUAACUGCAAUUUGUGACAUUGUCAAGAAGUUUGCCUUCAAAAAGGCCAGAAAUAGCUAGGUUAUGCAUGUGAAAGGGUACAACUUAAGUGUAAUCAACAAAGCGAUAGGGAAAUGGCUGUUUAAGACAUGCAACAUAUUUACUAUCGCAUGCGACAUUUCUUCUUUUCGUGUUUUUGUAAAGGUUUAAACUUAAUCUACAUCAUUUAUGUGAGUCCGAUUUGGAAAGAUCGGCAGGGAUACAUGUUUUCCUCAAGUAUAUAUUUCUCCUUUGAGUUACUCAUUUGGUUGUCUAAUACAGAGAAAACUGUUGAUUAACAAGUAACACUUAUUCCUAAAUGAGCUCUCUGUUAAGGUGACAUAUACGCUCUUAUAGUAACACUAAAAGGUCAAAAAAUCUGGGAUUAACAGCGUCUGUAAAAGCGCCGCAUUGUCUAUACUUCGCUAGUCUGUGAGCAGUGAGGGCACAGUUGACAGUUGACCAUAUUUUAAUGAUCGUAGUAAAAUCAAAAGUCAUAACUUUGGUUAAUUAUACUUUGCAUAAAUUUAUAUGAAAGACAUUUUUAUUAUGUGAAGAACUUUUAAGCUCGGUUCAUUAUUAAGUAUUUAAAGGUAAACUUAUCUGUGAGUAAAAAAAAUGCUUACAGAGAGAAUGACUUUUGGGGGAAAAAACUCAAAAGUAGAUUGUAUUUUGUUUCAUUGUAAAUGUUUCAUGUUUGAUUUUUUGCCUUUGUGUGCAUUGCUCUCUGUGUGGUGUGAUUUUUUAAUGGUAUCCGUCUGUUGUCUCUGACAAUAGACAAAAUUAUUUUUUUUUUUAAAUCAAAUUAAUCGUUGCGGCUACGAAAAUGUCAAAUCGUUAAGCAAAAUCGAAGCAGAUGUUGAAAGGAAUAAUACUUGAAAUCAGUGUUAUGUUUUCUCAACUGCAAUACGUCGGGCAAAAAAUGUUACGGUUUUGAGGAGGCAAAUCUCAAAUUGACGAAAAUACGAAAUCAACUUUAAAAUGUUAGGCAGUAUUGGAAUAAAUAAUACCCACCCGGAUAUUUACUUGACUACGCGUAUGACGAAAACUGAAAACAAACUUCAAAUCGGUCCAAAAUAAAUUGUAGCGGAAAUCACAUCGUAAGCGAUUUUUUUUUCCGAAAAAAAGAAAUUACUCCGCUUUCUACGUGCAGGCCUACACGCUAGGAAAAUGAUGAAAAUAACGCCAGGAAAACAUCACAGCGUUAGUGAGAAUAAAAAUACCCGAAAUCAGUAUUAUUUUUCUUGCCACAAAGUAAACAAAAUGGGUUAUGGAAAUAAAAUUAAAAAUGAAGAAAAUAACGGCAUAAAAAUUAAUCAUCCGCAACGAGAGAAGUAAAUACAUGUACAUGUACUUGCCUUUAAAAGUCGGAAAGCGAAUGUUGGCAAACGGUGGGAAAAUGACGGCAGCAAAAGAAAAUGAAAUUGGCAAAAUUACGAGAAAAAAAAUCACACCAUAAUGAACAAAAUAUCUGUUUAGAAAAUGACUGAAUUUCAGUUAUAUACAGCGGCAUUUCAAAAACAUCGAAAUUGUUGGCAUUGUCGAGAAGUGCCUCCAAAAAGACCUAAUUGCCCCCCCCCCCCCCCACCAAAAAAGUACAUUGUGAAAGGGUACAACUUAUUGGCAACCUGCCGUUAUCGGUGUCGGCACAUGUUCGUGUGCAUUAUGACAAAAAAAAUCAUGUCUGUUUUUAAAAGUAAAUAGUGGAAACAUGGGUAGAAUCGUUUAGUUUCUAUUUGGUAACAAGUGGCCUUAUUACAAGUAGGCUUAGACAUAAUGCUUUGGAAUGUUUCACUUCAGUAAUAAAUGGGCUAGGCCCAGUGUUUUCGUAACCCUGUUCACUUAGGAAAGAGUUGCAGCUUUCUUCAAAGAAACUGAUGAUCUAAAAGUUGAGACUGCAUGGAUGAGCUAGGCUGCUUUGUCUGGACGAAAAUCAACCCUCCAAGGCUCCAACAGCCUCAUCACACGGAAACUCGAGGAACCGGAAGCAGGAAGGAGGACCGACAGAUGAACGGAUGACCUGCUUGCUGGGCUUCACAUUACUGAUUCUUGAAAGAAAUGAGGACCACUGACACUGACUGAUGAGGGAAUUGUCUUACUGAGAUGAGGAUGAGCCUGCCUCAAGCCAUCGUAAGCUGGGAGGACCGACGAUGGACUGACACCGCCUGCUGGCCCUGGCCAUUACUGAUUCUUGAGGACAUGAGGACCACCAAGCUUGGACGAGACUGGACAAUGACGAAGCUGCUCUACUGGACAAGGAUGCCCUCAUCGGAAACUUGAGUUAAAAUACUAGCUUGCAUAAUAUGAAAUGAUAAAUCAGACUGCAUAAUGCAACGUCAUUAAUAAUAUACACUAAGGCAACACCACUAAACAAAAUGAAAAGUAAUGUUGAUUUCAUUAAAUUAUUUAUGCCUCUAAAAUAAUCUUAAACCGAAUACUGCAACAGACAGUUAACAAUGGACAAUAAUGGAAACUUGCUGAAUUUGUCACUGGCUUUUUAGCAGUGACAUGUCUGGGAGAAGGGAUGUUCCUUUGAUCUGUCCUGGGUCAUCCAAAAUUAUUGCAUCAAUAAGUUAAUAAUUUCAUACUCCUUACCUUUAAUGCAAAUGCAUUCAAUUGGAUCUUUUCGGUAAAUUAUAAACGAGGUCUCGGCUAAGGCUUUCUAUUUGCUUUUUGUUCAGUUGACAAUGGAGAAUUUUGCUCUAUAAAUUUAAUUUGAUAUUGAAAGUGCAUUUUUAAGAAAACCAAUUUAAGUCCUAAGAGUUUUGAAAGAUUUCAAAAAGGAUUAAUUUAUUGUUUAAAAACUGAAGAAAUGUAACAAACUUUAUUUAAAUUUAACGUCUUUAACAAGACGUCGGUUUAACUAAAACGUGACUUUCUUUCCAUUGUACAUGUAAAAUUAUUAGAAAACACAAGAACGUUUAAUUUUCAGGAAAAUUUAAAAAAUAAACUGUUCAGGAACUUCUAUCCAUCAAAAUG